GAGCGAAAGCGAGAAAGCGUUGCCGCAGGCAACGACCCGAAGGGCGAAGCGCGCAGCGCUGAGUCAUCCUUCCCCCACCACCA
rnacentral:sRNA from 2 species